rnacentral:rRNA from 1 species
GUCCUAAAGGGCCGUUGGAGACCACAACGUUGAUAGGCGGGGUGUGUAAGUGCAGCGAUGCAUUGAGCUAACCCGUACUAAUUACCCGUGAGGCUUAACCAUACAACACCCAAGAAGUGUUCU